rnacentral:rRNA from 1 species
GACGAACGCUGGCGGCGCGCUUAACACAUGCAAGUCGAGCGAGAACCAGGGCUUCGGCUCUGGGGACAGCGGCGAACGGGUGAGUAACACGUGGGUAACCUGCCCUCGGCACCGGAAUAGCCCGGGGAAACCCGGAUUAAUGCUGGAUAGCCUCACAGAUCUUCGGAUUUGUGAGAAAAGGUGGCUUCGGCUUCCGGCUGAGGAUGGGCCCGCGGCCGAUUAGCUUGUUGGUGAGGUAACGGCNCACCAAGGCGACGAUCGGUAGCUGGUCUGAGAGGACGAUCAGCCACACUGGGACUGAGACACGGCCCAGACUCCUACGGGAGGCAGCAGUGGGGAAUCUUGCGCAAUGGGCGAAAGCCUGACGCAGCGACGCCGCGUGCGGGAAGAAGGCCUGGUGUAACGCUU